UCCGGUUUGUCACCGGCAGUCUCCCUAGAGUUCCCACCAUUACGUGCUGGCAACUAGGGACAAGGGUUGCGCUCGUUGCGGGACUUAACCGUACACCUCACGGCACGAGCUGACGACAGCCAUGCAACAAGUGUCUUCACGUCCCCUUGUGGGGGAGGGCCUAAUCUCUUAGGCUUACGAUCGAUGUCAAACCUGGGUAAGGUUCUUCGGUUAGUAUCGAAUUAAUCCACAUGCUCCACCGCUUGUGCGGGUCCCCGUCAAUUCAUUUGAGUUUCAACCUUGCGGCCGUACUCCCCAGGCGGGAUACUUAGUGCGUUAGCUGCGGCACAAGAGGGGUCGAUACCUCUUACGCCUAGUAUCCAUCGUUUAGGGCGUGGACUAC
rnacentral:misc_RNA from 1 species